AGCCUUCCGGCGCCUACGCCCCCGUCAGGUCCCCUCCGCGGGCUCCGGGCCGCUUUGCUGUGGUCAGGAUAGGCGACCGGUCGAACCAGCCUUGCCGGGAGGGGAACCGAAGCUGAGUUCUGUUUGGCGACUAUCCCAGUCAUGGUGGCUUUGGCUUAUGUUGGGACAGCGUUUUUCUAUAUGAUGCUGGCGGCAGCCCAGUGAGGGAAGUGCAACAAGUAUGGUUCUCCUGCUUGUCAACUGUGGAAACAGCGACCCUGAAAGUGGAGGAGCCACAGCUGGAAUCGUGUCCGUCUGAAUACACGCACCUUUCCUAUGAGCCUUGUAAAGCCAGUCGUUGAAGAAGGGGGAGGACCCGGAAGGAUGGGGUGGGGGCGUAAAGAUGAAGGUUAAUCAAGGUCCUCAUGGACUGAACCUUGAGGCCCUUCUGCUGCAGUCACUUUUGCCCUAUCAGACUUUUAGAGUAACUUCCUCUCUUUAUUUCCUCUUUGGUGGGGUUAUCAGAAUUAUUUUGUGACUAUUGGUUUCCUUUGCGGUUUUUAGUGAAAUUCAGAAUCAUCUUCGACGGAUAGGAAAUAGUGCAAUCAUAUGUGUCAGUAUUCCGGUAUUCUAGGAACUUAAGGAAAUGCAUAUAAGGGUUUGAACAUUUUUUUCUUCAGCUCACUAAAUGAACGAAAGGUAGGCGUAGGCGUUAAAGAGACACAUAAUGUGGAACGAUGCUGUAUUUUCUUAGCUACUAAAACUUCAUUUGUCAUUGACUGUCUCAGGGCUUUAAAAUUUUAUGUAGGUCUAUAUUCAGCUUUUAUUAAAAUAGAAAAUUCCUUGAGCUGUUGCCUUUCUUCACUAAAUAGAGAUAAUUUCGUCUUCCUAAACACUCAGUCUCAAAAAUCACCUCUAAAAUAGGCCGGGCACAGUGGCUCACACGUGUAACCCCAGCAUUCUGGGAGUCCAAGACAGGAGGAUCACUUGAGUCUAGGAGUUGGAGACCAGCCUGGGCAACAUGGGAGACCUCCUAUCUAUUUAGUAAAAUAUAUUUUAAAAAAUAAUAAUGAAAUGAAAUAGUAGUUUGCCCCAGUUUAAGGGGUAAGGUGGCUUUGAAGAUGUUCUAUAUGGAGUUUUAAAGUUGGGAGAGUAUGUCAGAAUGUCAC
rnacentral:lncRNA from 10 species